CCGGGCGGACUUAAUCGCGGGCGCAGCGCGAGGCUCGGGACCCAGAGCGCCACCUACCGGCGGCACGGUCGGCGCAGCAGGCCCCAGAAGGGCGGGGGACGCUGUCAAGCCCAGGGGCACUUCAGCAAGGAGCCCCACCCGCCCUCCAGCUGAGCCUCAGCUGUGGCCCACAUCCGGGGCCCAGAGCGCGGCGGAAACGCCGAAGCCCGGCCGGCAGGCCUGCUUCCUGGCAAUGUGCUGUCAAUUCAAGAAAAGAAAGAAGGAAAGCUACUUCACGAUCAGAAAUCAAACCUCACCCCCACUUCUCUCUCUCUCUUUUCUUCCUUUUUUUUUUCUCUGAGCAAUGGUCCCCAGGAAACAAACCCACAAACCGCUGUCAAGUUUGAUUCCUCUUUCUGGAGUUACAGCCUUCCUGCUCCUCCGUGAUGGCUCAGCUGACGUACCACCUCUGCUACUCGUUUUCAAAAUACAUGUUGAGUCUCAGGACCAGGAGGACGAUUGAGAUUUUUUUCCUUGUCGUCUUUCUUUUCUUCUUCUUUCUUUCUUUUUUUGGUGGUGGGUGGGGCCAAA